GUCUUCAUAGUUCAACGGAUAGAACAGAGGAUUCCUAAUCCUCAGAUCGAGGUUCGACUCCUCGUGGAGACACCA
rnacentral:tRNA from 1 species